rnacentral:rRNA from 1 species
AGCACGGGAGCAAUCCUGGUGGCGAGUGGCGAACGGGUGAGUAAUAUAUCGGAACGUGCCCAGUCGUGGGGGAUAACGCAGCGAAAGCUGUGCUAAUACCGCAUACGAUCUCUGGAUGAAAGCGGGGGACUCUGCAAAGGGCCUCGCGCGAUUGGAGCGGCCGAUAUCAGAUUAGCUAGUUGGUGGGGUAAAAGCCCACCAAGGCGACGAUCUGUAGCUGGUCUGAGAGGACGACCAGCCACACUGGAACUGAGACACGGUCCAGACUCCUACGGGAGGCAGCAGUGGGGAAUUUUGGACAAUGGGCGCAAGCCUGAUCCAGCAAUGCCGCGUGCAGGAUGAAGGCCUUCGGGUUGUAAACUGCUUUUGUACGGAACGAAACGGUCCUUUCUAAUAAAAGGGGCUAAUGACGGUACCGUAAGAAUAAGCACCGGCUAACUACGUGCCAGCAGCCGCGGUAAUACGUAGGGUGCGAGCGUUAAUCGGAAUUACUGGGCGUAAAGCGUGCGCAGGCGGUUAUAUAAGACAGAUGUGAAAUCCCCGGGCUCAACCUGGGCACUGCAUUUGUGACUGUAUAGCUAGAGUACGGUAGAGGGGGAUGGAAUUCCGCGUGUAGCAGUGAAAUGCGUAGAUAUGCGGAGGAACACCGAUGGCGAAGGCAAUCCCCUGGACCUGUACUGACGCUCAUGCACGAAAGCGUGGGGAGCAAACAGGAUUAGAUACCCUGGUAGUCCACGCCCUAAACGAUGUCAACUGGUUGUUGGGUCUUCACUGACUCAGUAACGAAGCUAACGCGUGAAGUUGACCGCCUGGGGAGUA